CUAGCAGGUCGGGUGAUCGCACCACGUGUGAGGAAAGUCCGCACUCCGUAGAGCAGGGCAGGGGGUAACACCCCUCCGCCGUGAGGCGAGGACGAGUGGCACAGAGACGACAACCCGGCGGCGCUUUGGCGCCACACGGGGGUGAAAAGCGCUAAACUCUGCCUGGAGCAAGCCCAAGCCGGGACGCUCGAAGGUUGCUCGCCAAGUCCCAGGUAGGGCGCAAAGAGGACCAGGGUAACCUGGCUCCCAAGAGGGAUGAUCGCCUAGAACAGAAUGCGGCUUACGGACCUGCUUGUUCG
rnacentral:RNase_P_RNA from 1 species